AGGAUCCAGAUAAGCAAAACCUGCAAGAAUGAAAUUUGGAAAUUCUGUUAGUAACUUAAAUAAAACUACAAUUAAAUAAACAAAAUAUAGAUAAGCGAUGCAAUUAAAUUAGCUAAACUGAUAAGUAAUUGGUUAAGAAAAGAUCCAGCUGCACCCCAUUCACUAAUAAAUUAUGUUAAAACGCAAUAUAAUUUGCAUAUAAUUUCAGUCAAAAGCCUUCAUGAU
rnacentral:misc_RNA from 1 species